GAUGGCAGAUGGACUAUUACAAUUUUUCAUUUUGGGGUGGAGUAUCCCUUUAAUUCUCAUGAUGUAAACUGGCCUCAUUUGAUUGAAACAAUACAUUGACAAAUAUUACAUAGUAAUUCCAGUUUGAUUAUUUAUUUAUUUAUUUUGCACAGUAACAAUAUUUAUUUUAUAUGGAGUAAUAUUUAUUUGUCUUCUUUUUUUAUUCUUCUGACAGUUUUUUAUAUCAAUGAAAAGAGUGCACAUUUUAGGAACAUGGCACAUCUAUUUCUUGGAAUAUGCUUUGGAUGUGUUGCGGUCUUCUGUCUAAAACUGUUUAGAGGAUUUGGUCGGAUGCAGUUUAAUUGGAUCUCUUCAUUUUUUCUAUCAUUGGCACUCUUUGUCGAACACAUUUCCUUAUGUGGCCUUCUCAAAUCAGUGCAUCCCUCUCAUAUGACCAUGUAUGCAUCUGGAACAGUUGGUCUUGUUUUGUUGAACUCUGGACUACUGUCAUCAGAACUGAUCCUGGAAACAUGGAACGGGGAGCGUAUCAUUAAGGAUCUAAGAAUCAUUGUCUUCCCCUGUGAAUGUGUUUUGGCUUUAUAUUGGAUAAUUAACUUCCGUUCUUUCUAAGUAUCUUAUAAUAUUUUUUUAAUGGAGACUCAGCUUUUGUUUUGUUUUUUUUUGCUAAAUAUUUUGACAUUCAAUAUUUUACAAUAUGGUAACAUGGCAUUUAUUUUUUUCUCUCUCUCUCUUUCUAAUGCAUCCUGUCAUAUAGUGAAGAUUAGGCCUGAGUAAUUUCCAUUUUUUAUUCUUUAUAACUGUUAUCCUCUAGAAAAAACUGUGUAGAUUGAUAGCUGAUGAAAAUGUACCUGCGGGAACUUUUUCAGUAAGUAUAAAUCACUGCAGUUUCCAACAGAAAUGAGCACUAGAGGUGGUAAAACAGCAAGCAUUUGUAAUCGUUUAUGAUUACAGCUCCAUAUGUUUGGCUUUCUGAACAUAACAAGCUUGCUUGGUAGCUCAGCCAGCAGAGAAUUGGACUUAGGAUGCAGAAUCCUUGGUUCCAAACCCUGUCAAAAACAUGACUCACGAUGAAUGAGCUGAAAGAUGAGAGAUCAAAAAACAAGCUAAAACGCCAUGCUAGUGAUUGCGUUUUUACAUCACAUUUACUUUUGUUUAUACUAUCGAGUAGAUUUAGGACAGGUGUAGUGCAGAUACGCUAUUUUAAAACGUCAAUGCUAUUAAAGUUAUAGUGCCACUUAACAGACAUUUCAAGGCAGAACUGCGGCGACGUACAAAACCAACAUCACCUAAAAUGCACCAUAUACUGUAUAUGUUCAUCGGUUCACUCAUUGGACAUUUUACAUUGAAUAUGUCACGAAACACACAUGGCGCUAUGUAUUUCGCAUCUUGCAAAAAAGUUCCCACAAGUACGUUUUUGGCAUGAGAACAGGUUGGAUAUUUGGCAUGUAAUUGUGUUUUUUCCUGUUAUAUUGACACAGAUUUGCACACAAUGUAUAUAAUUCAGAUGAAAGUCACUGACAUCAUCUAAGGGUUAUGCAAAAAUAUAUCAGCUGAUCUGCUGGAUAAGGUUUGUCAUCUUAGUAUAGAGUACAGAUAUGUACGUGCUAAUUUCUUGUUUUGAACAGAGAGCAUGAGACUCAUGAAAUGGAAAAUUUGUCUUCAUCUGAUAAUGGUGAAUCAAAGAGACCGAAAUGAGACUGUGCAAAAUAAGCCACAUCCUGCACUCUGACCGAUCUUUUAGGCUGAGCAAAGUCUCAACAAGCAAGGGGGUUUGGUUUUCUGUCACCAGUUACUUCCAUGAUUUUGUAUUUGACAUACAACUAUGUAUGUGGUUUGUUUUGUGCAUAAAUGUAAUGCUCAUUUCUUGUGUCUCCUGUUUUUUUUUUUUUUUUUUGGGGGGGGGGGGGGGGUUAUUUUUUUAUAUAUAUGUACAGCAGCAAUAUUUGUCAUAUGCUGACAUCUGCAUGUCGGUUUUGGAUGUAUUGGCAGUAGCAAUUCUCAGUCUCUUCUCUGCUGCAGAAGCAGCAAUGUAGAUAUAUUCAGCCAAGACCAAACUCAUUAAGAUCGAACUGAUUUGAAUGAUGUCAUUCAACAGAUCCAUUAAGAUCUUUUCUUUGUCUGUUUUGACCUUCAUUGUCUCUAUGUAUUAAAAAAAAAAAUGAACUGAACUUGAACUUUUUGAAAACCUUGUUUUAAUGGGUAUAUAUUUAAAAAUGGUCUUGCCACCUGAUGCAAUCAUUUAUAUUUUUUGUUUGAACUUCAUAUCCAAUGAUUAAACUUGCAUUACAGAUUUUUAGUGUAUUGUCCCUGUGUAUGUGUUUGGAUCAGUUGGUGUUGUUUUAUUGAACUCUGUUACACUGAUGACUGAACUGAUACUGAAAACAGGUGAGUAAACAAAACACUUUUCUUUUUUUCUUUAUUAAAUAAUAACAACAGUGUAGUU